ensembl:lncRNA
AUUGACAAACCCAGUUUCCAUCUAUGUCCAGUAUUUCCCAAAAGAAAAGGACACCAGGUGAGCUGUAAAUUGGAAUAAAGUCAGAGAAAGCUGUGCUGAAGUAAUGAGGCUGGCAGAAAGGGAUCUGCCCAGAGCAAUUGUGGAGAGAUGUGGACGAAAACACCUGAGCCCAUAUCAAAUCAUCCUGAUGCACCUGCUCUCAAGGCAGCAUAGACCUCCAGCCCAAACAGAGCAGAGAUUCUCCAGUGAGUUCUGGAAGUUCAUCAGUUUGUUGAGAAUUAAGGAUAAGGUUUAUACCCUCAUGAAAGAAGAACUGAAGAUGACCUCAAAACUUUCUUAACUCAUGUUUUUAUAGUGAACAAUUCAUCAGUCAACAUUAUUCCAAAAAGAAAAGUUUGUCUUUGCAGUCUUCCUCUGUUUCCUUUCCUGCCUGUCAAUUAGACUGAAAGGGUUAUUGGAUAAUGUUAACAAAUAGCCAUUCAGCUAUUUUAGCAAACACUCUUUUGCUCUAACUCCAUUCUUGUGUGUAAUUCUGUGUGUAAUAUGUCUGAUGAUCCAAAUCGAUUCCUGCUCUACAUGUAUAAAUAAAUGUCCUGUUUCACUACA